AUAGUUAUCUGGCAUGGGGAACACCAUGAUCAAUAAAAUGGUUUACCCAGGGGGAGGCUCUUCAAUUGCACUUCAACUGGAUUGCCCCCUGUAAAUUUACCAAAUGUGGGACACUCAACUCCAUAAUUUAUAAUAGUGGGGGGCUAUAUACACACUGUUUUCUG